rnacentral:misc_RNA from 1 species
AAGUCGUAACAAGGUUUCCGUAGGUGAACCUGCGGAAGGAUCAUUACAGAGUUCAUGCCCUGCAAAGGGUAGACCUCCACCCGUGUGUAUUAAUACCAUGUUGCUUUGGCAGGCCUGCCGCCAGGCUGCCGGCUCCCCGGAGCUGGUGCGUGCCUGCCAAAGGACCCCUAAACUCUGUUUAUUAGUGUCGUCUGAGUACUAUAUAAUAGUUAAAA